AAGAAUGCCACCAGAAAUUUUCGGCCUGAUAGUCUUCUCGGUGAAGGGGGAUUUGGAUGCGUCUACAAAGGAUGGAUCGACGAACACACAUUUACAGCUUCAAAGCCUGGAUCAGGAAUGGUGGUUGCUGUAAAGAAGCUCAAACCUGAAGGUUUUCAAGGUCAUAAAGAAUGGUUGGUAAGUGUUUGCUUUCAAUCCUGCAUAAAAAGAAAGUACUUUUGUUUUCUCAAUACACAUGGUAAUGAAAUUUUUAAUCAAUAUUUCAGACUGAGGUUAACUACCUUGGACAACUGUACCAUCCUAAUCUGGUUAAAUUAAUCGGUUACUGCUUGGAGGGAGAGAAUCGGCUAUUGGUCUAUGAGUUCAUGCCGAAAGGGAGCUUAGAGAACCAUCUGUUUAGAAGUAAGUUACAUAAACCAUUAUUCAGAAUGAUCUUUUUCUUUUGACAAAGAUGUUUUUGAAAAGUAUAAUGGUCAAAGUAAUGGAUAUUUGAGUUUCCUUGAUUUAUACGUUGAAUUUACUUGACAGGAGGACCACAACCACUGUCUUGGUCAGUGAGGAUGAAAGUGGCUAUUGGUGCUGCUAGAGGACUCUGUUUUCUUCAUAACGCCAAAUCACAAGUCAUAUACCGUGAUUUUAAAGCCUCUAACAUCCUACUUGAUGCGGUAAGAUAAACUGCGAGUUCUUCGUUUUUCUUUGUGUAAACUGUUUGUUUAUACUUAUCAUGCAAAGGGAUUGCAGGAGUUCAAUGCUAAACUCUCUGACUUUGGUUUAGCCAAGGCGGGUCCUACUGGUGAUAGAACUCACGUCUCUACUCAGGUCAUGGGCACUCAAGGAUAUGCAGCACCUGAAUAUGUUGCAACUGGUAUGCUUUACCUGGUUAUUAAUCUUCAAUCAUAUACUCUCUUCUGUCUCCGUUUUAAUCCUGAUUGAUUUACAGGUAGGUUGACGGCGAAAAGCGAUGUGUACAGCUUUGGAGUUGUGUUGCUUGAACUUCUAUCUGGAAGAAGAGCUGUUGAUAAAGC
rnacentral:lncRNA from 1 species